rnacentral:rRNA from 1 species
UACGUAGGGUGCAAGCAUUAUCCGGAGUGACUGGGCGUAAAGAGUUGCGUGGGUGGUUUGUUAAGUGAGUAGUGAAAGCUAGCGGCUCAACCGUAUAGACUAUUAUUCAAACUGGCAAACUCGAGAAUGGUAGAGGUAGCUGGAAUUUCUUGUGUAGGAGUGAAAUCCGUAGAUAUAAGAAGGAACACCAAUGGCGUAGGCAGGUUACUGGACCAUUUCUGACACUGAGGCACGAAAGCGUGGGGAGCAAACAGGAUUAGAUACCCUUGUAGU